UGCGUUGUAACCUGGUUCCCGUACGAACACUGAAGUUAAGCAACGUCAAGCCUGGUCAGUACAUGGAUGGGUGACCGCAGGAAAA